GAUUCUGGUUCUGUGGGAGGGAGAGUGGCCGGGGGUGGCAUGAGGGUUAUGGUCCCCUGGCUGUUUUUGCCACUUUUCUGUGCUGGGCAUGUGGGGCUUUGCUCUGCGUAGCUGUGGCCAGAGGCAGCAUUGUCCGUGUGUUUCUCUGUGCACAAGAGGACAGCUCCAUCUUUGGAGUUUCCCAUGUGGGCUUCUAAGUGCCCUGUUGGUUAGGGGACCCCAGAGGAGCAGGAAUGUCAGCAGAAUGAGUCUCUGGACUGACAUCGUCAACUUCUCUGCUUAGGGAUCUCCAAGUAGAGAGGGCUGUGGCCCAAAGCUUUCUACAAAAUGGUAAAGUGACUUUGGGGCUUCUUAUUCUCACCUGGAAAAUUCAUAUGAACUUUUUUCUAUUCAAUAGUGUCCUGGGAUUCUCUGAAUUUGAAGUCAAUAAAUGAGGGCUGAGGGUGUAACUCAGUAGUAGAAACACACACACUCCACAUACACAUCACACAUACACCAC